rnacentral:rRNA from 1 species
CAUGCAAGUCGAACGCUUCCUGAGUGGCUUGCCAUUCAGGAAGAGUGGCGAACGGGUGAGUAACACGUGAGUAAUCUUCCCUCGAGUGAGGAAUAAGCCCGCGAAAGCGGGUCUAAUACCGCAUAAUACCCCGGGGCAUAAGUUUCCGGGGUCAAAGCCGUAAGGCGCUUGGGGAUGAGCCUGCGUCCUAUUAGCUAGUUGGUAGGGUAAUGGCCUACCAAGGCUUUAUGGGUAGCCGGCCUGAGAGGGUGUACGGCCACACUGGGACUGGGACACGGCCCAGACUCCUACGGGAGGCAGCAGUGAGGAAUAUUGCGCAAUGGGCGAAAGCCUGACGCAGCGACGCCGCGUGUAGGAUGAAGGUCUUCGGAUUGUAAACUCCUGUCAGAGGAGACGAAAGCCCGAGCAAUCGGGUUUGACG